GCAAGUCGAACGGUAACAGGAUUGAUUUAUCAAUUGCUGACGAGUGGCGCACGGGUGCGUAACACGUAUGCAACCUACCCUUUACAGGAGGAUAGCCCAGAGAAAUCUGGAUUAAUACUCCAUAGUACCAUAAAGCCGCAUGGAUUAAUGGUUAAAGAUUUAUCGGUAAAGGAUGGGCAUGCGACCUAUUAGCUUGUUGGUAAGGUAACGGCUUCCAAGGCUUCGAUAGGUAGGGGGUCUGAGAGGAUGAUC
rnacentral:rRNA from 1 species